rnacentral:lncRNA from 1 species
AUUUAAUCUUCUCUCACAUGUUCCUAAUUCAAUAGCACGUUAGUCGGCUUUCCAUUAUUACACCAAAAUAACUUAAAAAGAGCAGUGAUUUAUUUUGGUUAAAAAUUUUGGUUUUAGUCCACGUUCAAUUGGUCUCAUUGCUUUUGGACUACAGUAGGGGCAGCACAUCAUGGAAAGCAUGAAUGAUGGAAGACACUGCUCACCUCAUGGUGGCUGGAAAACAGAGAUAGGAAGGGACAGAAGUCAUAUCCCAUCAGAGGCACUGCCAGCAAUGACUGAAUUUCCUCCCAUUAGGACCACUUCCUAAAGUUUCUAGCAUCUCCACCAUGAGCAAGACCAAACUUUAACACAUGGGUUUUUGGGAGACACUUUUUCAAGCCAUAGAAAAUGUUUUGACACCAAAUACUGCCACAGGCUUCAUGAAAACAAGAUG